GCCUAGUUCCUUAUAAUAAAUUCACAAGGUAAAAAUUUUAUACAAAUAAAUAUACUAAUUCUAUCAUUAUUACAAAAAUUUUAAAAUUAAAUCAAUAAUCUUAAUAAAAAACCUAAAAUAAUUAUAAAAUCAAAAUAUAAAAUAAUGAACUAAAACGUAAUCUUAAAGAUAGCUGGUUUAAAGCUUACUAUUAUAUUUUAUAAAAUAAAUUAUAGGCUAUUAACUUCAAAGCUUAUCCCUUAAAGAAUAAAUAAGUUAAUAUUUAUACUUAAAAAAUUAAAUAAAAACAAUUAACUUUAAAAAAUUAAAAUUUUUCUUAAGAAACUAGAUAUCUUGGGAAACGAUUAACAUCUCAUUUCCAUAAAUAAUUUAAUAAUAAUUAUAACACAUUAACUGUAAAUUAUUUAUAAAUCAACCCAAAUCGAGACAAGUAAGAUAAAUACUAAAAUUUUGAUAAACCCUGAUACAAAAGGUACAAUAAAUAAAAUAUACUUUUAAAAAUUUAAAAUAAUAUUUCAUAAAACAAUUACAUUACCAAUAAACUAUAAUCUAAAAAAUCAAUUCUACAAAAUAUACUAAGACAAAAUUCAACAAAAUUAUUUCUAUUA
rnacentral:rRNA from 1 species